UACGAAGGGGGCUAGCGUUGCUCGGAAUGACCGGGCGUAAAGGGCGCGUAGGCGGUUUGACAAGUCUGAUGUGAAAUCUAUGGGCUCAACCCAUAGCCUGCAUUAGAAACUGUCGGGCUUGAGUAUGGGAGAGGUGAGUGGAAUUUCCGGUGUAGCGGUGAAAUGCGUAGAUAUCGGAAGGAACACCUGUGGCGAAAGCGGCUCACUGGACCAUAACUGACGCUGAGGCGCGAAAGCUAGGGGAGCAAACAGG
rnacentral:rRNA from 1 species